rnacentral:lncRNA from 1 species
GUACAUCGACUCCUAGAACUAUGAGUGGACAAUUUAUCGUCUUAAAUAUCUAGAGUAAUUAUACUUGUUUGAUGCUUUUAUUGAAUGGUGAGUUAAAUUAUAAAGUAUUAUGUUUUCCAAUUAAAAUGUUUUUAAUAAAAAUGAGAUUUAUACUGAUUUUAAAAUCAAAUAUUGUUUUGGGAAAAUUGAGUAUAUGGAGACUGUGUUGAAAUUUAUGAUUUUAUAUGUUAUUGAAAUUGGAGCUUAUGACACUAUGAUAGCAUGAUGGCUAAAUUUUUGGGAUUGGCAUGAAAUAUAUGAACAGUUUUGGAUUGGUCUCGAUAGACUGAAUUACAUUUUAUUCGCCAUAUUAUGCUACUGAAAUUUUUAUGGGUCUGGUGGUAUAUUAAACGGUCACUGCAGUGGUGGGGGUUUCCGUGGACUGCCUAUGAGAGGGGCACGGUAACCCAAUUAUAUACAUACCUCCAAGGGGAGAUGUUGGGUGAAGUAUCUCCUAAGGUAUGAUUUGAGUGCACCUCACGUUCGGGCCACCACGUGAGAGUGAGACUCAGCCAACGUCAAGGAACGGCUGUGUGUUAGAUGUGAAAACAUGUUUAUGGGUAUGGGUCAUUGAACAACCUUGGCUGUCUCAGUGGGAUACCUUG